rnacentral:rRNA from 1 species
AGUCGACGGUGACGAGGGGCUUGCUCCUCUGAUCAGUGGCGAACGGGUGAGUAACACGUGAGUAACCUGCCCUUCACUCUGGGAUAACGCUGGGAAACUGGUGCUAAUACUGGAUAUGACCUGCUCGGGCAUCCGAUGUGGGUGGAAAGAUUUAUUGGUGGAGGAUGGACUCGCGGCCUAUCAGCUUGUUGGUGAGGUAAUGGCUCACCAAGGCGACGACGGGUAGCCGGCCUGAGAGGGCGAUCGGCCACACUGGGACUGAGACACGGCCCAGACUCCUACGGGAGGCAGCAGUGGGGAAUAUUGCACAAUGGGCGAAAGCCUGAUGCAGCGACGCCGCGUGAGGGAUGAAGGCCUUCGGGUUGUAAACCUCUUUCAGCAGGGAAGAAGCGUCUGGGUUUUCUCAGGUGUGACGGUACCUGCAGAAGAAGCACCGGCUAACUACGUGCCAGCAGCCGCGGUAAUACGUAGGGUGCAAGCGUUGUCCGGAAUUAUUGGGCGUAAAGAGCUUGUAGGCGGUUUGUCGCGUCUGCUGUGAAAUUUCGGGGCUCAACCCCGAACUUGCAGUGGGUACGGGCAGACUAGAGUGUGGUAGGGGAGACUGGAAUUCCUGGUGUAGCGGUGAAAUGCGCAGAUAUCAGGAGGAACACCGAUGGCGAAGGCAGGUCUCUGGGCCACUACUGACGCUGAGAAGCGAAAGCAUGGGGAGCGAACAGGAUUAGAUACCCUGGUAGAAUCACUAGUGAAUUC